rnacentral:rRNA from 1 species
AUUGAACGCUGGCGGCAGGCCUAACACAUGCAAGUCGAGCGGGGUUUUCGGACCUAGCGGCGGACGGGUGAGUAAUGCGUAGGAAGCUGCCCGAUAGAGGGGGAUACCAGUUGGAAACGACUGUUAAUACCGCAUAAUGUCUACGGACCAAAGUGUGGGACCUUCGGGCCACAUGCUAUCGGAUGCGCCUACGUGGGAUUAGCUAGUUGGUGAGGUAAUGGCUCACCAAGGCGACGAUCUCUAGCUGGUUUGAGAGGAUGAUCAGCCACACUGGAACUGAGACACGGUUCAGACUCCUACGGGAGGCAGCAGUGGGGAAUAUUGGACAAUGGGCGCAAGCCUGAUCCAGCCAUGCCGCGUGUGUGAAGAAGGCCUUCGGGUUGUGAAGCACUUUCAGCGAGGAGGAAGGGUGGUGUGUUAAUAGCACAUCAUUUUGACGUUACUCGCAGAAGAAGCACCGGCUAACUCUGUGCCAGCCGCCGCCGUAAAAC